rnacentral:misc_RNA from 1 species
AAAACCGCCCAAAUAUCUUCCGUAUAUCUUUGAUUCCCUGUGCGGCUUUUUUUUUUGCGAUUGCUUUUGUGUUGUCUGUGUGUGUUUGUGUGCGCCACCCACACGGGGAGCCGAACAGAGGACACGGCGAGCAGCGGCAGCAGCUGCGGAGCUCCGCUCGCACACAAGCAAGCGAAGGAAGGGGUGCAGUGUGUGCAGGUGCGCGGGUGUGACCAGUGUUGACCGACAGAGGGCGCGUGGUGCGAACCGAAAACGCAUGCCACGCACAGCACGCCAGCGUUACGCGUCCGUUUAGGUCUCCCUGUCUCUUCCUCUCCCCUUACUCGCUUACUCGUUGCCAUAUUUGCUGUUGACACUUUUGGGCUUUCGAUUUCGCUCCAGCGCGCGCUCUCUCCGUCUUUCUCGCGCUGUGCCACGCACGCCGCAAGAUGCCGGUGGAAAUCUCAAACAGCGACGAUGUGGACUUCUCGCAGUACUGCGUGCUGCAGAGCAAUGACCAUCCACCUGUAGAGUUCAAGGUGUCGCGUGAGUCGGCCAAGAUGUCGGGGCUGCUCAGGGACAUGCUGGAAGACCAGGAGGGCAACGAGGCGAUCAUCCCCAUUCCGAACGUGUCAGGGCAGACGCUCCGGCUCGUGCUAGAGUACAUGGAGUAUCACUGCGGCAACCCAGCGCAGCCCAUCGAGAAGCCGCUGAAGACGACGAUUGAGUCACUCGUGUGCGAGUGGGACAGCAACUUCCUCUUCAAUCAGCUCCUCAAGAACCACGACGAGAAGCAGCACGAGGUGCUCAUCGACGUCAUCAUGGCAGCGAACUUUUUGAACGUGCGCGACUUGCUCGAUUUGACGUGCGCCUGCGUUGCAAGCAUGAUCCGUGGCAAGACGGCGGAGCAGAUUCGCGAGCUGUUCAACAUCGAGAACGACUUCACACCUGAGGAGGAGGAGAAGAUUCGCGAGGAGAACCGCUGGUGCGAGGAGUCGUAGAAUCGACAAGUGAAGCUGAUCGCGUAACGUGCGCCUGCAUGCACUUUAGUGUCUAUCUGAGUAUGUGUGCGUGCUUUUUCCGCUGCCUCCGUCUGCGCUUUCUCUCGUCCCUUCCUUCGACACCAGUUGCACAGUAGUGUCUGCUCUCGCUAACCCUCGCCAUCCCCUCUUUCUGUGUCUUCGUGACACCAGUGAAGUGCUGGCGUGUGUGUGCGUGCGCGCUCUUCUUGUAUCUGUUCUGCAUGACCUUCACCGAGGGCACAGCGCAAAAAAAAAAGACGGGGGACCCACCCACACACGUCAACACUGACACUGACACGUGCACGCGUAUGCAAAGAGAGGAAGAGAGGCACGAUACGUAAGCGGACUGCGUUGUUGCGUCCGACUCAUGCGUGCUCGUGGGGUGUGCACUGGUCGAAGGAUUCGGCUCAUUGUGGGGUGUCACUCCCUGGUGAUGCAUGGCCGUGACACUCUCAUAGAGGGAAAUCAAGCGGGGCCGAAAGGCCGGACCGAUACGAAGGAGCCGGAGGCCUUUUCUUUUCGCGUUGGGGGUGGGGGAGUGCGUGGAGUGAGAGAGACGUGAGGUGUGCCCGUUGAUACGCAGCUGAUCACCGCUCUCGGCCUGGAUAUGUUUUCUGCUUGCCCCCACCGCACCCCAGCCCAGCCGCCUCUUCCUUGAAUGCACUGCGUACCUCGUUGCAGCUGUCCCUUUGGCUGGCUGAUUUCUGGGCUCUUUCUUGUAUGAGUCGUCGUUGUGUGCUUGGGUGUACGUGUGCACUUGUGUGGGGUCCGUCUGGCUGGCUCGCUGCCUGAGUUUUGCUUCCACGCGUGUGAGCGUGAGUGGGAUGGUGGCGAUUCGGUGCCCUCCUCGCCUUCCUCAGCCAUCUCUCUCUUGCGUAUGCAUGUGUGCGUGUAUGUGUGUAUGUGUGUAUGUGUGUAUUGUGUAUGCGUGUGCGUGUAUUGUGUGUGAGCUUGUGUGUGUCUCGGCUUUUCCUUCUAUUUUCCAGUUUUGUUUUUCUUCAUCCUUUGUUCUUCCCCUUUUCCUUGUCCUCUUAGUCUUGCGUGGUGGCGGUACCGGGUGUCGCGGCGGAGAGGUGCUGUCUGCUUGCUGUUGUGACUGUUGUUGGGUGCCGUGGCGGAGGGAGGUGUGUGCAGAUGCGCAUGGGGAGAGGCGUGCAGGCGAGCAGCAUUGCACGCGCACCUCUUGUGGUGGUCGUGGUGCACGCCACCAUGACCGGCAUCGCCAUUGGCUGAGUGUUCCCUUCGUCUCUCUCUCUCUUGCUUCUUUUCCUCUAUUCUCACGAGUGGGGUAGAGGGGACGGGUUGCCCUGUGCACGCCUGCCGGGUAACAUCUUGCCAUGACAUUGCCCGCGAAAGCCACACACACACACACACACACACACACACAGGCAUGCCUAAAGGCACAGCGACCAGCUUCCCUCUUCGUGUCGCAGAGAGUGAGGGGGCGAGGAAGGCAUGUGAUGCGCGACGCAGAAAUGUCCUUCGCCACCAGCGAUGAUGACGGCCGUGCCGCAACGAGCGCCGUUUUUCCUCCUGGCGCUCUCAGCGACUUCUGUAAUUCGCAUCAGCCCUCCCUGCAAAGCCCUCUUUACCACCUCCCAUACAUUUGUCUAUCUAUAUAUAUAUGGAUGUGUGUGUGCGCGCGCGCAUGGACAGGGUCGGCCACGAGCUCCGUCUUCCUCUGCUACAGUCGUUCUGGCUGUCGCCAUUGCCGUGAUGCUCUCUCAGCCCUUCCUCACUACUGCCUCUCGCACGCCUUGAAUGGGCUGCGGCGGAGGCGACGGUUCGACCUUCGGGCGAGGAGCGGAGGACUUCCCCUUCGCAUCAUGGCGCUAUGCGGGUCAGGGAAGCCCCCUCGCAGCGGGUUUCGACAAGGCAUGUGGUGCGCACUUCACCGCACCCAGCGCGGACGGACGGGCGUGCACGGGUGAUGAGCGAUGAAGGAAAAGGUGCGCAAGGAAAAGAGGAGGAGAAGAGGGCACUGAGCGGUCUGUCGGCGUCCUCGAACGCGACGGAACGGACGGCACGUCGCACGCAUGAGCAGACACGCAGACGCGCGGCCACACGCGGACACCCAGGUGCGACAUGCGUGCAGACGAGCCGAGACGAGUUUUUUUUUCAUCUUUUUUCUUCCGUCUUUUCGUGCCUUCAACGCCUCUUUUCUCCGGAUCAGUAAACGCCGAUGCACCAACACAGCACACAGAAGAACGAAGUAGGAACGCGCAUGGGAGGGCGAGCGAGCGAGACAACGUCCCCCCUCCUCCUUCCGCAGGGAGAGGGAGGAUCGCGCCACGCCUUCUUGUUCUUCUGUUGACGGAGCAGCUCAUCUCCACGAGAAUGCGUGUGCGUGGGCAUCUUUUCACCACUCGCUUUCUCGACACGUGGAGCCUACCCUGCGCUUCGCUUCCUCUUCGCGGCUCGAUGGAGCGCGCUCUGCGCAGGAGGCGGUGGAUCUGAGGGCAGAGAUGGG